rnacentral:rRNA from 1 species
UACGUAGGUGGCAAGCGUUGUCCGGAUUUACUGGGCGUAAAGAGCGCGCAGGCGGUCGUUCAAGUCGCGUGUGGAAAGCCCCCCGGCUCAACUGGGGAGGGUCACGCGAUACUGAUCGACUCGAAGGCAGGAGAGGGAAGUGGAAUUCCCGGAUGUAGUGGUGAAAUGCGUAGAUAUCGGGAGGAACACCAGUGGCGAAGGCGACUUCCUGGCCUGUUCUUGACGCUGAGGCGCGAAAGCUAGGGGAGCAAACGGGG